rnacentral:rRNA from 1 species
AUUGAACGCUGGCGGCAUGCCUUACACAUGCAAGUCGAACGGCAGCACGGGUGCUUGCCUCUGGUGGCGAGUGGCGAACGGGUGAGUAUUACAUCUGAACAUGUCCUGUAUUGGGGGAUAGCCCGGCGAAAGCAGGAGUAAUACUGCAUACGAUUCACGGAUGAAACAGGGGUACCUUCGGGCCUCGCGCCUUAGGGUUGGCCGAUGGCUGAUUAGCUAGUUGUUGGGGUAAAGGCCUACCAAGGCAACGAUCAGUAGCCGGUCUGGGAGGACGACCAGCAACACUGAGACUGGGACACGGCCCAGACUCCUAGGGGAGGCAGCGGUGGGGAAUUUUGGACAAUGGGCGAAGGCCUGAUCCAGCAAUGCCGCGUGUGUGAAGAAGGCCUUCGGGUUGUAAAGCACUUUUGUCCGGAAAGAAAUCCUUGACUCUAAUACAGUCGGGGGAUGACGGUACCGGAAGAAUAGACACCGGCUAACUACGU